UACGAAGGGGGCUAGCGUUGCUCGGAAUUACUGGGCGUAAAGGGCGCGUAGGCGGACAGCUUAGUCAGAGGUGAAAGCCCAGGGCUCAACCUUGGAAUUGCCUUUGAUACUGGCUGUCUUGAGUUCGGGAGAGGUGAGUGGAAUGCCGAGUGUAGAGGUGAAAUUCGUAGAUAUUCGGCGGAACACCAGUGGCGAAGGCGACUCACUGGCCCGAUACUGACGCUGAGGCGCGAAAGCGUGGGGAGCAAACAGGG
rnacentral:rRNA from 1 species